CCUACGGGGGCCGCAGUGGGGAAUAUUGGACAAUGGGCGAAAGCCUGAUCCAGCCAUGCCGCGUGUGUGAAGAAGGCCUUCGGGUUGUAAAGCACUUUCAGUGGGGAAGAAAGCCUUGGGGCUAAUACCCUCGAGGAAGGACAUCACCCACAGAAGAAGCACCGGCUAACUCCGUGCCAGCAGCCGCGGUAAUACGGAGGGUGCGAGCGUUAAUCGGAAUUACUGGGCGUAAAGCGCGCGUAGGCGGUCUGAUAAGCCGGUUGUGAAAGCCCCGGGCUCAACCUGGGAACGGCAUCCGGAACUGUCAGGCUAGAGUGCAGGAGAGGAAGGUAGAAUUCCCGGUGUAGCGGUGAAAUGCGUAGAGAUCGGGAGGAAUACCAGUGGCGAAGGCGGCCUUCUGGACUGACACUGACGCUGAGGUGCGAAAGCGUGGGUAGCAAACAGGAUUAGAUACCCGGGUAGUC
rnacentral:rRNA from 1 species